AGCUCCAAUAGCGUAUAUUAAAGUUGCUGCAGUUAAAAAGCUCGUAGUUGGAUCUCGGGUGCAGGCUUGCGGUCCGCCUCGCGGCGGUCACUGCUCGCCCUGACCUCCAGGCCGGUGUCACCGUCCCUUGGUGCUCUUGAUUGAGUGUCUCGGGCGGCCGGUACGUUUACUUUGAAGAAAUUAGAGUGCUCAAAGCAGGCCCUUGCCGCCUGAAUAAUGGUGCAUGGAAUAAUGGAAUAGGACCUCGGUUCUAUUUUGUUGGCUCUCGGAGCUCGAGGUAAUGAUUAAUAGGGACUGACGGGGGCAUUCGUAUUGCGGCGCUAGAGGUGAAAUUCUUGGACCGUCGCAAGACGAACUACAGCGAAAGCAUUUGCCAAGCAUGUUUUCA
rnacentral:rRNA from 1 species